rnacentral:rRNA from 1 species
GACGAACGCUGGCGGCGUGCCUAACACAUGCAAGUCGAACGGAACUGUUUUGAAAGAUUUCUUCGGAAUGAAUUUGAUUUAGUUUAGUGGCGGACGGGUGAGUAACGCGUGAGUAACCUGCCUUCAAGAGGGGAAUAACAUUCUGAAAAGAAUGCUAAUACCGCAUGACAUAUCGGAACCACAUGGUUUUGAUAUCAAAGAUUUUAUCGCUUGAAGAUGGACUCGCGUCCGAUUAGUUAGUUGGUGAGGUAACGGCUCACCAAGACCGCGAUCGGUAGCCGGACGAAGGGGAUACACGGCCACAUUGGGAGGGAGGCACGAGCCAGGAUCCUACGGGGGGGAGCAGUGGGGGGUAUUGGGCAAGGGGGGCAACCCUGACGCAGCAACGCCGCGUGAAGGAUGAAGGUUUUCGGAUUGUAAACUUCUUUUAUUAAGGACGAAAAAUGACGGUACUUAAUGAAUAAGCUCCGGCUAACUACGUG